rnacentral:rRNA from 1 species
GGUAAUUCUAGAGCUAAUACAUGCACAAAAGCUCGACUUCUGGGAGAGCUGUCUUGAUUAGAUUAAAACCAAUGGUAGCAAUACCUUUCUUGGUGAGUCAUAGUCACUCUGCGAAUCGCACGUCCUCGCGACAGGCGAUGUUUCAUUCAAAUUUCUGCCCUAUCAACUAGAUUGUAGUGUAUUGGACUACAAUGGUUAUAACGGGUAACGGAGAAUAAGGGUUCGAUUCCGGAGAGGGAGCCUGAGAAAUGGCUACCACAUCCAAGGAAGGCAGCAGGCGCGCAAAUUACCCAAUGCCGACUAGGCGAGGUAGUGACAAUAAAUAACGAUACAGGGCCUUUUGGUCUUGUAAUUGGAAUGAGUACAAUCUAAAACACUUAACGAGGAACAAUUGGAGGGCAAGUCUGGUGCCAGCAGCUGCGGUAAUUCCAGCUCCAAUAGCGUAUAUUAAAGUUGUUGCGAUAAAAACGCGCGUAGUUGAAUUUUGAGUGCGUCGGUCGGUUUGGCAUCCGUCAACACUGAUUGGCGCGCUCGUUUUUUUGCCGAUCGCGUCUGCCUUUAAACGGGUGGGCACGGGAGUCAAAACUUUUACUUUGAAGAAAUUAGAGUGUUUAAAGCAGGCGCUUGCUUGAAUAUAUUAGCAUGGAAUGAUGGAAUAGGACCUUGGUUCUAUUUUGUUGGUUUCUAGGACCGAGGUAAUGAUUAAUAGGGACAGUUGGAGGCAUUAGUAUUC